UUUCAAUUUUCCAGGAAAUAUUUGUCUACCUAAAGUAUUGAUUUGUAAAAGGUCUCUUUUUGUUUUCAUGAGUAUGAAAUAAUGAACGGACAAUGAAGCCGUCCGCAUUGAUUUUGAUUUUGGGAAGGCGUUUUGAAGUAAAUGAAGAAUUGUUAUAUUAUGAUGAUGAGAGCCAACACAAAGAAUAUGCACUAAUGCCAUACUAUCAGCUGCUUCUAUCAUAAGAUCGUCAAAUACUAGCAGUUUAUGUCCCUGUUCACUUCCCCAUUCAUUUAUCUGGUCCAUGGUGGGAAGACCCUUGUGAAAUAAGAUGGAUGAUACACUCUGUUGCAUUUCAGAAUACAAUGGUUGCCAAAUCGAAUAGCAGAAAAAUAUACUUGAGGGUGGAGUUUGAAACAUCCCAUCUGCUUGUUCUAGAAGGUGUUUUGUCAACACGGUCUUACCAGAUCCGGAAGGACCUACCAUAAAAAUGGAUGUAGGUGAUUCGAAUUUUAAUGUUGCGUGCUGUUUUUUCAAGCCUUCCAUCCUGUUUGAAGGUUGAAGUAAUAAUAAGGUAACAUGUAUAGUGAAUGUUUGUUUUUUUAUAGAUAAAUGAGAAACAAGUAUAGAGGUUAGUCAUAUUUUUUAUUAACAUUUAUUUUUACUGAUACAUAUCUGAGAUUGUUCUACAAGCAUAAAACAUCGAGACAAUUUAUCAUUUACAAAAUCGAAUACAAAUCGAUCAUUUAAGUCAUAGUCACUUGUAAAAAGCUCUCCCAUUUUUACAAUCGACAGCCUUUCUUUGAUACGACACCAUAGAAAAAAAACACAAUAUUGUCCACACACAGACGUCUUGUCUCCCUGGAGACGUUUAUUGUUAAAUGUCACUUUGUCAUAUCUUCUUAUGAAAUGUUUGAUUGAAGAAGAAUAUAGAUCUGACGAAUUGCCAUACGAAUCGAAACAUUCUAGCUCUUGCUGUUUGUUCACAUAAAAGGCAAUCCAGUGUUGACCUGGUUUAGAUAUUGGAUCCGUGUUUACAAUUAAUCCAGUUAGUUCACGUACAUUAUUGGGUAAUUGAUCUGAGGCAAAAAUACCAACCACUCGUUUCUUUAAAUCUGCGUCACAGGAAAUAAUACUUUUCAACUGAUUGGUAUUCAUUCUAUUUCGAUAGUGCGAGUUGCCGUUAUACCAAACAUCCCCUGUUGUUCUGAAUAUAUGAAACAGGUGAUUGCUUUUGAUAGAGCAGUACCAAACUGAGCUUCUAGUCUGACAUUUCCUUGUUUUAUUAAGGUUAAAUAGUGUGCACUUUCUCCAAAUUCUGGUUCUAAUUCGAAGCAGUACAAUGCAUAUCCUUUAGCAAAGUCAUCUCGGGUGAUUUGAUUACCAGAAUCUCGAGUGUCUUUUUCUGUUAUUUGGAAUAAUUUUGUAUAUGCCGGUAUGAUCGUUCGACCGGUGGUAGCGUCAAAAUUGAUCUGUAAAAUGUUACCUGAAACGGGUAUGUUAUUCACGUAUAAUCCAAUGUUUUUCAGGUUAAAAUGCUCAAAGUUGAAGGGGUUUGUGAUGUAACUACCUGCAGCAGCUUCGGCAUCAACAAAUCCAAUUACAACUCGGGCUGGACAUGACCCAAGAAAUAAAUCUGGAAAGUUAAUAUUCAAAGUACCACUUGGAAUGUUCAUAGGCAUGUAAUGGGGCGUAUCCAUGAUGAUAGUCCAAUCUCCAAUAGCAGUAGGUGUCAGUCGUCUCAGAACUCCUUUUUUUUCUCCAUCAACGAUCGAUUCCUCACAUACAUUUGAAUAGGCUGGAUCCAGAGGUACUUACUGAAGAUGUCUAUAACAAACAACAGCUGGGAAAACUGAUCGUUGGAGUCUUUUAAAUUAGACAUGUUCGCUAAAUCAGCGUCGAAUUGGUCGUCAAUACCAGAUACUACCACUCGUGCUUUACGAAAAGACUUUCGAGCUGGUUUUUGCAGACUGUAACUGUCUUGAUCCUGUAGCCAUUUUCGAACGCGAUGUCUACCUAUUGUUAUACCUUUGGAUUUCAAUAUUCUGUACAAUUUAUCAGGACCGACAUAUGCACCACCUUGGGAAAACUGAUAAUAUAUUUUUUCGAGGACCUUGUAUUGGUCAUUCAUUAUCUGAAGCGACAACUGAAACACUAUACUAAAAGUGAAAAGAAUAAAACAAAAGCAGUUAUAUAUAUUGUAUUUUAUUAUAUGAUAAAACAAAAGUCACAAUAUGUUGUUUACUGAGCAGUCACAUAAAAAAAAAUUGUCACAUCA